UGCUUAGCCUGGAGCUAACAUACCUGCUCCUCAGUACUUUCCUGUAGCCAUCUGGCCUUGCUCCAUCACAUAAUAUAUUCAUCAGGAGAGAGCCAGGCUUCAACGGAAGAUGGGGGACAGCACAUGAAAUGAAAGAUCAUUGAUCAAGGCACCUCUAACACAAGCUACAAAGGACAAAUACUGAAGAUAGCAGCUGACAACUAACCCCACCCGUCACCAGGAAUCAUCCUCCUCUCUCCCCCACCAACAAAGAUCUCUUCCCCCUGCAAUACACUCUACCCUGAUACAAGGCAAGCAUCAACCUACAUCACAUAAGUGGAUAGUCUCUCCAGCAUGCCCUGAGGAGUCCAAGGUUAUGUCUUAGCUUUAAUGGAAGUUACUUAAGGGGAAGUUUAAAUAAAUAUUUUAUUAUUUUGGUAAAGUCUAAAAUAUUUUGCAAUAAAAAAUGAAAGUCUCUAACCUAAUACAGAAAUUGAACAAGGACUAUCUGGACACUGAAGAACAAUAAAGUGGGCAAAACUGAGUGAAGGAGGAUGGCUCCCCAAUGCUGCGGGCAGUUCUGUACCAUUCCACUCCAUUAUGGCUGCUCUAAUCUGUUCCAUCUGGCUGGAGCCCCAAGGCCACAGUACACCAGCUGGAGUUCACUGAAAUACAGAAGACUCUAGCCAUGCCCUCAAUGCAAUUAGAUUUUUUUUCUUCUUUUUGACCAAAACAAACUGGUGAAAUCAACUUGAAUUUGUGAAAAAUUGUCUGAAAAGUUUUGCUCAGCUUGAAAUGCACUCUAUGAGGGGAUUUGGAAAGACACAGCACAGGAUUUGACUGUACUGGCUAUACAUCUCUCAGGAAUUCCCCCAUGUCAGCGGAGUCCUCAGGUAUCUGAGUCAGCUUUUUGGACAUUGGUGAUUCUGGACCAUGGACUGAAGAUCAGGUCAUUUAUUUUUAAAUCUGAUCCCCAGUUUGUUAGGAAGUAGUAUUUACCUUUGAACAUUCCCAUUGGUGAACAAAAUCAAUGAAUCUUCAAAUUAAAAUAUAAAGAGGAAAUCCAGAAAUCUAUGAAAACACUAAGGAUGUAACUGAAAACACUGAAUUGUUAAUAUAUUUAAAGAUUCGCUACGAGGGUGAAAAAGAGAGAGAAAGGAACAGUCAGCCACUGAGAUGACAUCUGCCUCUCUAAGUGGAAAGAAAGGAGAGUGCUCACUAAAGGAAGAGAUGACGAUGAUGGCACAGCACUAGAAGUAACCUGAGAAUGAAAGGAGACAAAGAAGAUGGUCAGAAGCUUUGGAAUGUAUAUCAGCCUUGAGUGGGUAUCUGAUGGGAGCUGUUUAUAUAUGAAAUGUCACCUGAUAAAGCACAUGGCAGAGAAGAUCCAAAGAACAGAGAGACAUCUGGAGAUUAAUACCUUUUAAGGAGAAAGGAGGUGGAAUAGACAUCUCAGUGUUUGUGGACACCUGCUAAAAAAAGGCCAUGCAAGUGGACUGACAGAAGAGGUGGAUGAUCCAUGGAAGAAUGUGACCAUGAGGACAAGGCAGAGGAAAAAACCAAGUAAUAGUGAUGAAAUUAAGUUAAAUAACAAGUCUGAUGCACUGGGGAACCAGAGGAAAAACAGGCAGCAAAUGGAGUGAUGAGGAAGAAAAGAGAGAAGUGAAGCCAGUUCCUGCAGAAGAGAAGAUGAUGAUGAUAUGAUUGAUGAUGAUGGAGAUAGCCAGGUACCAGAACCUAAGGAAAAAUAGGGAUGACAUACAGGAGACUGCAAGAGAAAAAAGUAAGACAAAUUCAUGCCAACACCAGGAAUAGACAGUUCUAAGUGAUCAGAGACUCCAUACUCAAAAGACUAGAUACAGGGAACAGAAGAGUGUUCUGUCUGCCAGGACCAAGUAUACAAGAUGUGAACAUGAGACUGAAAUGGAUCCUAAUGGGACUGGGAAACAUCCAUAGAUUGUGCUGCAUGUUGGGUUGAGAUACUAGUAGAUUCCCAUACAAAUGGAUCAAGGACAACUAUGCUCAGCUGGGUAAGACACUUAAAGAAGUGGAGUCUCAGGUGAUAUUCAGUGGAAUAUUUCCAGUCCUUGGAGAAGGAGAGCUAAGGGGUGACAAGAUAAUGCAGAUCAACAGAACACUAAAGGAUUUCUGCUGUGAGGAAGACUGUGGGAUGAUUGAUAUGUUGGGAGGCAUUCACAAAAAGGGGCUCUUCUCAAGUGAUAGACUCCACUGAAAUACUUGGGGUAGGGUGAUCCGAUGUCCUGAUGUUAUCAGGACCAUCCUGAUAUUAGGGGCUUUGUCUUAUAUAGGCAACUAUGCCCCUCCCCCCAGGAAAAAAUGUCCCAGUUUUUCACACUUGCUAUCUGGUCAUCCUAAUCUGGGGUAUUAAUUUGAGAUCAAUGAUGGAACGACUGAUAAGGAUGGCUUUAAAUUCAGAGAUGAAGCAAAAAGGUUGGGUUAGACUUGUGAAAUCUCCUGGCAUCAAUAUGAAGGAUCGGGAAAAUUAAUUAAAUUAAGAUAUAGUAUGGAAUAAUGGAACACCACAAGGUAAGAGUAUGCACAAUAAAGACGAAGAAAGUACAAACAUUGAUUGUAGUAGAAGUCUUGUAGGUGUUACAGAUAGUGAAAAGACUAAUCUAAUCCAGAUAGCAAACUGGAUGAGA